rnacentral:lncRNA from 1 species
GUUCAGGUGAAGAUAGUUCGUAAACUUGUUUAGCCUAGUCUGUGAAAUUCUUUUGUUUUAUCUACCGAAUAUUUUUUCCCAAAUUGAAACUUAUGUAUUGUUUGCGAAUUAUUAUGUGAUCUAUUAAUCAUUGAAAUUUGAAAGUAGCUUCUUUGUGCUGGUAUGUGUUCAUCCUCAAGACAGGCUACAGAUUUUUUGAUGGAAGCCAAGAAGCAGAAAAAAUGCUAAAGAGGUUCAGUACUGUAUAGUGGAGUGUGGAUUUCUAUUCUUUCUUUCUUUACAGUUGCAGUUAUUAGAAUGGGAGAGAACUAGUGUAACACCCCAGUUUCGAUUAACGAAAGGUAUAGAAAAAAUUUGUCGAUAUAUUAAGACUAUGUUUGUUUGCAAGGAUUACACUUGGGAUAUAAUUAUUAAUUUUAAGUGUCUUGUUUGUUUUUAAAUUUGAACUUGAGACUAUUAGUCCCGACUCCUGAG